UAGUGAAAUUGAAAUACACAGUGAAGAUGCUGUUUAGGAAUUCUAAGACGAGAAGACCCCAUUGAGCUUUACUAUUAACUUGUAUUGCCAGAGCAAAAAAGGGAACCCCAAAGGUUCCCGGGAUCCAACGGAUCCCUUAGGUACCCUGUCCUUUGCUUCAUAAUAAAAUUGUGAAGACUAAGUGGAAAAAGAUAAAACAAGGGAUUAAAAAAAAACGGGUCUCUGGGCCCCGGCUCUCAAAAGGCCCCUUGGCUUCUUGUCCCAAUUUAUAUGAAAAACCACUCUUUUUAUUAAGAUUACUGUCUAAAACCGUACAAGUAAGAUAGUUUGGUUGGGGCGACCGCCUUCGAAAAAGUAUCGAAGGCGCACAUAAGAUUAGUCCGGAGGGGGGUCCUACGGAUCCCCCUCCCGGGGGCAAUGCCCCAAAAAAGAUUAGUUUGACUGAAAGGGCUACAACCCGAACAGGCGCCUGGGGAUGGGGGGCGAUCUUCGGAUCGCCCGGGUCCCCCUUUUGGCGGGUCAUAGU
rnacentral:rRNA from 1 species